rnacentral:lncRNA from 1 species
UGACAGGGGUGGGAGUGAACAACUCUGAGCCCUCCUGCAAAUCCCCACAUAAACCUCUUUCCCUUUUCUUCUGUUUCUAGAACCACCAUUUAUUUUCUAUCUUCUAUUUUUGCUGGAGUAGGUGGUUUUUAAUUUAAGGAUGUUUGGAGUUUGGGUUUCAAAAGGAUUGGGGGCUUGAUGUUUUGUUUCGGGAGCAGAGAACAGCUCUAGUGACCACUGUGCUACCAUCCAAAGGAAACAAAGAAAAGAGGUUCUUGCUCUUGGUUGGUACCACAAAAGCCUGGAGCGUCAGAUGCAAAAGGACUUUCUUAGGACCUAGCCCUCCCUUAGGAAGGAGGGUAUGGCUCAUGGAGAAGAAAAAUCCCCUUCUUCUUGAUACCCUCCUGACCUGUUAGCAGAGAGAGCAACCAAAUUAUUUCACAAGAGUUUUCUUUGCUGUGAGGAAUCACAGCACACUGACUGUUUCAAUUGGCAAUGCUACAGAAGAGUUGGGAGAUUCUUCCCAUGUGAAGUUUUCCUUCAAUGGAGCAGCUGGUUUUGUUAUUUGCAAGUUCAAGGUCUGACAUGUUUUGAGGUUAGUGCAUACAUGCAAGAGGCAUGCUUUGUUUAUUUUGUGAACACUAGAGUACAUAUGUUAGGUAAGAAAAACGUGUACUAAACAAAAUUAUCUCUAAAUUUUCUUUUAUCUACAAUAACCAAAUCCAAAUUUUUUGAGUACCUGCUGUAACACAUCCCCUAAAAACUACUCAUUUACAGUGGUGGUGCUAUUGAAUAUGCACUGCAGUUAAACUGGACUAGAUGAUUAUUUAAGGUUCCUUUCAGCUCAGAAUCCCAUGAGUUUUAAUGGUGGUGAUAUCAACCUUGUGUCCUAGGUACUUGUGAGAUUCUUAGUCAUGGAGAAACAUUGUGAUGGAGUGAAAAUAACAUUGAACCAGGCUCUGGCAGUGGAUAGAGCCCUGGAAUUGACAACAGGAAGAUCUCAAUUCAAAUUCUGCCUUAGACUUUUAUGUCUAUGGGAUUAAUCUCAAAGGGUCCAGGAACUUGAAUGGGAAGAAAAUUAUAUCUCUACUUUCACUCAUUUCUAACUGAAAUUUAGCUUUUACUUUAGUUAUUUAAAAGGAUUCUGAGAAUAGGUCCAAAGGCUUCACAAAACUGCCAAAGGGUACAAUGACAACAACAAAAAAAGGCAAAAUUCUGGUCUCAAGGUUACUUAGGAAUGAAGAAAAGCUACCCAGCCUUCUUAAGGAUAAAAUUCCCAGCCUUGACUUCACUUCUUACCAUGUUGCAACCAAUUAAACUAGUCAUCUCUAAAAUAUCCAUGUACCCUCUGGCCUGAAAGGUUGAAAGACUGAUACUUAACCAACUGAAACCCCCAAAGCUCAUCAUCAUGAAUAGGAAGUAAUCCUAUACACCCCAUUGCUCUGAUAAAGACCUGGUACUAUGAUCAGUUCUUGGUUCCAGGUUUCUUUCUUUCUUUUUUAACUAGGGUUUGGCAGGUGUCACAUUUCAUGGUCCUGAGAGACCAUCAUGUUCUUUUGGCCACAAAGAAGUGGGUGCAGUGAGGACUCUAAAUAGAAGUGCUACUAAAGACCCUCUCUCUUUCUUUCCUUCCCUUCCCCACCCAUCU